rnacentral:lncRNA from 1 species
CCAGGGAUCAAGCCUGUGCCACAGCAGUGACUCAAGCCAUAUCUGUGGCAAUACUGGGUCCUUAACCCACUGAGCACCAGGGAACUCCCAGUCUUCAGAACUUAUAGGGCAGCUCUUCUAAACUCAAUGGGUCUCCUCUUAGGCAAGUUACUUAACUACUCACAUCUAGCAGUGUGGGCCUCAUUGUCAGACACAGUCCAUUCAUGGGUCUCUGUUCACUUGUGUUUUACGCCAUCUGUUUUCUUGUUUGAAAGUCAUAAAUGGGCCCCUGUUCAACAUGUUGCAGGAAAGCUUGCCCUUCCUUCCACAAACCUCAGUUAUUUUUCACUCUGUGACCUGGUGCGGAGGUCAACUAAGCUGCCCAAUGGGAAGGAAUGAACGGGUACCCACCCUCACACCUCCCAGUCCUCUUCUUGAUCUUUGGUUUGGUGGAAAUACUCCAUGUAUCAUCAAUUUAAUUAUCUACUGGCUUGUAGAAAAAGCCUGAAGACCAAGAGAGUCUCAAGUAUCUGACCUUGACUUUAUUCACUCUUCUAAGAAGAUGAUACACACACACACACACACACACACACACACACACGAAGCUCUCUGUGUCUUUAACAGGGGAGGGUAUGCUAUGAUCACAAGCUUCAUAAAUGCUCAUGGAUGGAAUUUCUCCAUUAUCUUCCCCUUUGCCAAGUGUAAUAGGUGUUUAUUGACCAAAUGGAGAGGCAGCAGGAAGGGUGCAUUGCUUUUCACCCUGGAUGGCUAGGAGGGCUGAAACUCCCUCUUACCACAUCUCUCGGCAAACACUCUGGUCCAGUACUUCCUGAUGGGGGAUUGUGUCCUUCCACUGGAAUUUCCUCCUCUAUUCUGAUUCUUUGCUUCAUUAAUGUUGAAUGGCCCUUGAAAACAGUUCAGUGUCUGCUCCUUGAGGAAACUGCCCCUGGUCCCCAGCCUGGCUCUGUCUCCCUCCCCUGUGAAGGCUGACCCUUGGCCCACCCCUGGCCUAAAAGGGAUUCCACCCACCACUGAUUUACUGCUCUCUUCCCUCGUUGAUGACGUAUUCAUUAUGCAAAGGGACAGUUGUACUGAGCUGUAUAGUCCCAUAGUGCAUGUUCCUACUUAGUUAUUAUGAUUACACCUUCCGAACACCUACUUCUACAUAAGCGAUUCUUAACAUCUCUCUGUAUUUUCAUAUUCUUAACCUUCCUUGGCUCCAGAAAACCCUCAUCAGCCUCAGCAUCCCUCCACUGAUUUCACAUUUCACUCACCUCUCUUCUUAGUUUUCCUUUCAUCUACUGUGCUCUGAGUCACCCUCUCUGCCUAGACUCUGCAUCCUCCCAGGCCUUUAGAGGGCCUCCCAGAGGAAAGGGGGUGGGUACUGAGAGGGCUGGGGCUUUUCCCUUUGCCUGAAUCAGCUGGUGCCAACUGAUGGUUUCUCAGAUAUAUCAUUCAGCCCACAAGGGUGGAACAAACUAUUUUUUAAAGAUGGUCAUUAGUUGAUAAUACUUAAAAACUGGGAUUUUGGAGUUCCUGUUGUGGCUCAGCAAUAACAAACCUACCUAGUAUCCAUGAGGCCUCGGGUUUGAUCCUUGGCCUUUUUCAGUGGGGUUAAGGAUCCGGCAUUGCUAUGAGCUGUGGUGUAGGUCGCAGAUGCGGUUCAGAUCUGGCGUUGCUCUGGCUGAGGUGUUGGCUGGCAGCUCCAGCUUUGACUUUGAAAGUUUCCCUAGCCUGGGAACUUCAAUAUGCCACAGGUGUGGCCCUAAAAAGACAAAAAACCAAUGAACAACAACAACAACAACAAACUGGGAUUUCUAGUAACGCUAGGUUCAAAGUUUUGCCCAGUAACAGUCACGUAGACCAAAUCAUGUAGACCAAAAACCCAGCUGGCCCUUGUUCACCACAGAAACCCCCACCCCCUCUUUGACACGCUCCACAACUGAGGGUGAAUGUUGGGGCUGAUUUCACCGCAUUACCAGGAUCCCAAAUCUUGCUUUUACAGUAAGAGGAAAGUGAAAUAUUUCCACUCCUUGUCUAAAACUAAAGUGGGAAAUGAAUUAUGACCCAGGACAUCACAUGUUUCAAGAAAAAUGGGAGUGACUAUGCUCCUUUGUGUGAGUGAAGAACUUUCUACAAAGUUAAUAUUUUUAUAAUGCUUUUUAUUUUUUCCCUUAUAGCUGGUUUACAGUGUUCUGUCAAUUUUCUACUGCACAGCAAGGUGACCCAGUCACACAUACAUGUAUACAUUCUUUUUUCUCGCAUUAUCAUGCUCCAUCAUAAGUGACUAGACGUAGUUCCCAUACAAAAAGCCAUUCUAAAACAAAACCGGCUAAUGCCCUUACUGGUUUUACCUUAUCUGCCAUUAGGAUUUAAGGCCUCUAGUCAAAAUGGUAGAGCCUCAGAGCCAGAGAAACAAACAAAUCUUAGACCCAGAGCUUCACUGGUGAAGGGAUUUAGGCCCCAUGGCUGCCUGUUUUCUUUCUUUCUUUUUUUUUUUGCUUUUUACGGCCACACCCACAGCAUAUGGAGGUUCUCAGGCUAGGGGUCAAAUCAGAGCUAUAGCUGCCCGCCUACAUCACAGCCACAGCAACACUGGAUCUAAGCAGAGUCUUCGACCUACACCACAGCUCAUGGCAAUGCUGGAUCCUUAACCCACUGAUCGAGGGCAGGGAUCGAACCUGCAUCCUCAUGAAUACUAAUCAGGUUCAUAACCCACUGAGCCACAAUGAGAAACUCCUUUUUUUUUUUUUCUUCCUGUUUUCACAUAAAGAGGGCAGACCAGACUGACUGGUGGCUCUCAGGACUGAGUGGAAAGAACAUGCUCACUUCUCAGUCAAGCUCAUGGUUUCCCUACAAGAUAUAUUCAUAAUAAGAGGAAGGGGAGGCAGGAAGUUCUGGGGUGGAUAAACCACAAAAUGAAAUGUGCUUGGAGAAUGUGAAUGACAGUUGGAAUUAGAGAACUCUCUUUGUGAUCAACCAUAAAUAAUUAUUUUUAUUUUAACUUUGGGAAAUAAUUUCAGACUAACAAGAAAUAUGGCAAAAAUAACUGCCUCUAAACUUUCACCCAGAUUCUGCAGAAGUUAACGUUUUACAUAACAGGAAUACCAAGAGUGAAAUCAGGGAAUUAGCAUUGACAUAAGGCUGUUAUCUAAUCUACAAGAUUUAUUCACAUUUCCACCAUCUCACUGACAUUCUUUUUCUGAUCCAGGAUUCACCUAGCAUUUCACCUUGCACUUAGCUCUCAGGUCUUCUUAGCCUCCUCUUUUAGUGUGAAACAUUUCUUCUGUGUUUAUCUCUUAUGACCUUGAUGCUUAAUAAAAUGUCCCUUAAUUUUGGACUGUCUGUUUUUGCCUCAUGAAUGAUGUCAGGUUAUUCCUUUGGGGAAGAAGCCCACAGAAAUGAUGUUACCUCCUUCUUGAUGUGUCAGAUCAGGAGGCACUUGCUAUCUGGUGAUAUUGACCUUGAUGUCUGGUAGUGUCUCAUGGGUCACACCACUACAGCUACUUAUGUAUUAACCAGCAUUCAAAGGGAAAAUAGUAUCUUCUGGGGAGAUACCUUGAGAUGAUAUAAAUAUCUUUUUUUCUCAUCAUACUUUCACCCACCAAUUCUAACAUCCAUUGAUGAUUCUCGCCUGAAACAACCAGAGUUAAUUUUUCUUUUUUUGUCUUUUGAGGGCUGCAUCCACUGCACAUAAUGACUCCCAGGCUAGUGGUCGAAUUGCAGCUACAGCUACCAGUCACAGCCACAGCCAUGCCAGAUCCAAGCUGCAUCUGUGACCUACACCACAGCUCACAGCAAUGCCAGAUCCUUAACCUGCUGAACAAGGCCAGGGAUUGAACCUGCAUCCUCAUGGACCCUAGGUAGAUUCGUUUCCUCCGAGCCAUGAUGGGAACUCCCAUAAUUAAUUUUAGCUUGUAAUUUAUUUUUAUUUUUUUAUUCUAUUUAUUUUUUGGCAGCACUCGUGGCAUGCAGAAGUUCCCAGACAAGGGAAUAAACCUGCACCACAGCAGUGACCCAAGCCACAGCAGUGAAAAUGCCAGAUCCUUAACUCACUGCACCAUGAGGGAACUCCAAUCAUAAUUAAUUUUAAACCAGAAUAAUAAUGAAUAGAAAUGUGUGGUAGGUAAAUCUACAAAAAAUUCCUUAUAAAUGAGAAUGUCCCUUGAUCCUCUUUCAGACAGCAGGUGUAAGUCAUAUGUUGUCCACUUUUUCCUUUAAUUUUUUUAUUUAUGUAUAGUUGAUUUACAAUGUUGUGUUAGUUUCAGGUGUACAGCAAAGUGAUUCAGUUAUACAGACACAUAUCCAUUGUUUUUCAGAGUCUUUUUCCAUUUAGAUUAUUACAAAAUAUUGAGUACAGUUCCCUGUGCUAUACAAUAGGUUCUUGUUUAUCUCUUUUCUAUAUAGUACUAUGUAUAUGUUACUCCCCAAUUCCUAAUUUAUCCCUCCCCCCAUUCACUUAAUUACUGAUGAGCCCUGAGUCUCUAUGGAAUGGCCUGGGCUCCACAGACUCUGGCAGUGCUAUGUUGUAUAGCUUGCCUGCUGGCUAAUAUGGCCUAGUGGAAACCAUAUAUCAGACUCUGUAUAAACUCUCAUCCCAGCAUCCCAUUCAAGACCCUUCUCCCAUGCAAAGAGAUCUUAGAUUUUUCAAUAUCUGUUUGUACCUGUCCUACUCAUACCAGCACCUGUGGUGUCACCUGGCCUGUUCUGGUUGGCUGGGAACACCUUUUCCAUUUUAAGAAAUUAUAUACCUCCCACAAGACUCAGCUCAAAGCUGUUCUGCAUGAAGUCUUUUAUAGGAGGGCAGGGCCUACCUUUUCUUCUUUUGAUAUUUUCCUGCACUUAGAGUAAAGUUUCAGGAAGUUCCCAAUGUGGCUCAGUGGUAAUGAAUCUGACUAGUAUCCAUGAGAACGCAGGUUUGAUCCCUGGCUUCACUCAGUGGGUUAAGGAUGCAGUAUUGCUGUGAAUUGUGGUGUGGGUUGUAGAUGAGGCAUGGAUCCUGCAUUGCUGUGGCUUUGGUGUAGGCCAUUAGCUGUAGCUCUGAUUUGACUCCUAGCCUGGGAACUUUCAUAUGCCAUGGUUGCGGGCCUAAAAAGCCAAACAAACAAACAAACAAAUAAAUAAAUAAAUCGAAAAGUUUUGGGAGUUCCAUGGGGACUCAGCAGGUAAAGUAUCUGGCACUCUCACUGCUGUGGCUUAGGUCGCUGCUGUGAUGUGGAUUUGAUCCCUGGCCUGGGAACUUCAGCAUGCCUCAGGCACAGCUCCCCUCCAAAAAAGAGUAAAGAUUGAGUCUCAGCAUUUAUUCAAUACCUCCUCUAGUGGGGAGGGAGAUAAAGAAGGGUAGUUUAUGGUCCCUCAAGAAGUGGUAAAAAGAGGUGCAUAGGAGUUCCCGUCGUGGCUCAGUGGUUAACGAAUCCGACUAGGAACCAUGAGGCUGCGGAUUUGAUCCCUAGCCUUGCUCAGUGGGUUAAGGAUCCCGCAUUGCCGUGAGCUGUGGUGUAGGUUGCAGACGCGGCUCAGAUCCUGCAUUGCUGUGGCUCUGGCGUAGGCUGGUGGCUACAGCUCAGAUUCGACCCCCAGCCUGGGAACCUCCAUAUGCCGAGCGACCGGCCCUAGAAAUGGCAAAAAGACAAAAAAAAAAAAAAAAAAAAA